rnacentral:rRNA from 1 species
UUGGUAUUGCAUGCCUGGUGUCCUAAAAAC